rnacentral:rRNA from 1 species
GGUGCAUGGUUGUCGUCAGCUCGUGUCGUGAGAUGUUGGGUUAAGUCCCGCAACGAGCGCAACCCUUAUUACUAGUUGCCAUCAUUAGUUGGGCACUCUAUGAGACUGCCGGUGAUAAACCGGAGGAAAGUGGUGGAUGACGUCUAAUCAUCAUGCCCCUUAUGACCUGGGCUACACACGUGCUACAAUGGAGUGGUACAACGAGGUGCCAACCCGCGAGGGUGCGCUAGAAUCUCUUAAA